UACGGAGGGUGCAAGCGUUAAUCGGAAUUACUGGGCGUAAAGGGCGCGUAGGCGGCGUGACAAGUCACUUGUGAAAUCUCCGGGCUUAACUCGGAACGGUCAAGUGAUACUGUUGUGCUAGAGUACAGAAGGGGCAAUCGGAAUUCUUGGUGUAGCGGUGAAAUGCGUAGAUAUCAAGAGGAACACCAGAGGCGAAGGCGGAUUGCUGGGCUGAUACUGACGCUGAGGCGCGAAAGCUAGGGUAGCAAACGGG
rnacentral:rRNA from 1 species